CGUGGGUAACCUGCCCAAGAGACUGGGAUAACACCUGGAAACAGAUGCUAAUACCGGAUAACAACACUAGACGCAUGUCUAGAGUUUAAAAGAUGGUUCUGCUAUCACUCUUGGAUGGACCUGCGGUGCAUUAGCUAGUUGGUAAGGUAACGGCUUACCAAGGCAAUGAUGCAUAGCCGAGUUGAGAGACUGAUCGGCCACAUUGGGACUGAGACACGGCCCAAACUCCUACGGGAGGCAGCAGGG
rnacentral:rRNA from 1 species